CAUGAGGUUGUUGAGUGGUUAAGACCAUGAGCUUUAGAGUCAGAGGUAUCUGGGUUCAAUUCCCUGCCCCGUGC
rnacentral:tRNA from 1 species